GAUGAACGCUAGCUACAGGCUUAACACAUGCAAGUCGAGGGGCAGCGCAGUGUAGCAAUACAUGGGCGGCGACCGGCGCACGGGUGCGUAACGCGUAUCCAACCUUCCCGUUACUCUUGGAUAGCCUUCCGAAAGGGAGAUUAAUACAAGAUGGUAUUCAAAUUCCGCAUGUUAUUUGAAUUAAAGAUUUAUCGGUAACGGAUGGGGAUGCGUGACAUUAGCUAGACGGCGGGGUAACGGCCCACCGUGGCGACGAUGUCUAGGGGUUCUGAGAGGAAGGUCCCCCACACUGGAACUGAGACACGGUCCAGACUCCUACGGGAGGCAGCAGUGAGGAAUAUUGGUCAAUGGACGAAAGUCUGAACCAGCCAAGUAGCGUGAAGGAUGACUGCCCUAUGGGUUGUAAACUUCUUUUAGCAGGGACGAAUACGUGACGGUACCUGCAGAAAAAGCAACGGCUAACUACGUG
rnacentral:rRNA from 1 species